AAUUGUCUGCUGGACAUUCCUCCCUGAUACAUCUCACAGGAAACUGACUUUUCUCAAAAAUGAACUCUCCCUACCAAUCUGCACCAUGAAAUUAUUUCAGCAAACAAAAAAUAAUGGUUGCCCAUCACCGCACACUGCGUGUGACUCAGCCAUCACUCACAGGCAAAGAAGGGUGUUCUCUCCUCUCCCUGUCAGUUACUAAUUCUCUGUAAAUGACCAUUUGACAUCCUGGCCGGGGAGGAUUCAGAUCAGAGAUGACUUCCCCACUGCCACAAAGUAUGGUUCUGGGAAGGACAACCAGCCCCAAGGCCACGAAGAUUCUGAAAAAGUUUCUUCUCAUUUGAAGUCCAGUAUUUCCUCGGCCCCAUUUUUCUGUUAAACAAUCCUUUUCCCUUGGAGAUUGCUAAAGCUUAGCUCCAGGGC
rnacentral:lncRNA from 1 species